rnacentral:rRNA from 1 species
AGCGAACGCUGGCGGCAGGCCUAACACAUGCAAGUCGAACGAACUCUUCGGAGUUAGUGGCGGACGGGUGAGUAACACGUGGGAACGUGCCUUUUGGUUCGGAAUAACUCAGGGAAACUUGUGCUAAUACCGAAUGCGCCCUUCGGGGGAAAGAUUUAUCGCCAUUAGAGCGGCCCGCGUCUGAUUAGCUAGUUGGUGAGGUAACGGCUCACCAAGGCGACGAUCAGUAGCUGGUCUGAGAGGAUGACCAGCCACACUGGGACUGAGACACGGCCCAGACUCCUACGGGAGGAAGCAGUGGGGAAUCUUGCGAAAUGGACGAAAGCCUGACGCAGCCAUGCCGCGUGAAUGAUGAAGGUCUUAGGAUAGUAAAAUUCUUUCACCGGGGACGAUAAUGACGGUACCCGGAGAAGAAGCCCCGGCUAACUACGUG